rnacentral:tRNA from 1 species
GAGGUUGUGGCUCAAUGGUAGAGCACUUGCCUAGCAUGUGUGAGGCACUGGGUUUGAUCCUCAGCACCACA